GACGAACGCUGGCGGCGUGCUUCAUACAUGCAAGUCGAACGAGAAGCUGACUUCGGUCAGUGGAAAGUGGCGGACGGGUGAGUAAUAUGUAGGAAAUAUGCCUUUAGGAGGGGGACAACAGAGGGAAACUUCUGCUAACACCCCAUAUGAGCGUAGCUGAAAUGCUAUUCUUGAAAACUCCGGUGCCUAAAGAUGAGCCUGCAUCUGAUUAGCUAGUUGGUAGUGUAAUGGACUACCAAGGCGACGAUCAGUAGCUGGUUUGAGAGGAUGAUCAGCCACAAUGGGACUGAGACACGGCCCAUACUCCGACGGGAGGCAGCAGUAGUGAAUUUUGAGCAAUGGGCGAAAGCCUGACGCAGCAACGCCGCGUGAACGAUUAAGCCCUUCGGGGUGUAAAGUUCUGUCAGUGGGGACGAAACUUGACGGUACCCACAGAGGAAGCACCGGCUAACUCCGUG
rnacentral:rRNA from 1 species